rnacentral:rRNA from 1 species
AGAGAAGCCAGGUGGCGACACCGAGCGGAACUCGAAAGCCNGUCUCAGUUCGGAUCGGAGUCUGCAACCCGACUCCGUGAAGCUGGAUUCGCUAGUAAUCGCGCAUCAGCCAUGGCGCGGUGAAUACGUUCCCGGGCCUUGUACACACCGCCCGUCAAGCCAUGGAAGCCGGGAGUGCCUGAAGUAUGCAACCGCAAGGAGCGUCCUAAGGUAAAACCGGUGACUGGGGCUAAGUCGUAACAAGGUAGC